rnacentral:rRNA from 1 species
GCAGUCGCCGCGGGAAUACGUAGGGUGCGAGCGUUAAUCGGAAUUACUGGGCGUAAAGCGUGCGCAGGCGGUUGUGUAAGACAGGUGUGAAAUCCCCGGGCUUAACCUGGGAACUGCGCUUGUGACUGCACAGCUAGAGUAUGGCAGAGGGGGGUGGAAUUCCACGUGUAGCAGUGAAAUGCGUAGAGAUGUGGAGGAACACCGAUGGCGAAGGCAGCCCCCUGGGCCAAUACUGACGCUCAUGCACGUAAGCGUGGGGAGCAAACAGGAUUAGAUACCCCCGUAGUCCCUGUCUCUUAUAC